rnacentral:rRNA from 1 species
GCAAGUCGAGGGGUAACAUUGAGUGCUUGCACUUAGAUGACGACCGGCGCACGGGUGCGUAACGCGUAUAGAACCUACCUUUUACAGAGGGAUAGCCCAGAGAAAUUUGGAUUAAUACCUCAUGGUAUUGUUGAAUGGCAUCAUUUAAUAAUUAAACUUUUAUGGGUAAAAGAUGGCUAUGCGUCUUAUUAGUUAGUUGGUAAGGUAACGGCUUACCAAGACAUCGAUAAGUAGGGGUCCUGAGAGGGAGAUC